rnacentral:rRNA from 1 species
CCAUAUUUCUUGGGGGAGGCACCUGUGGGGAUUUUUCCACAAGGGGCGCAACCUGAAGGAGCAACGCCGCUUUGUUGAUGAAGGGUUUCGGCUUGUAAAACAUUGUUAUAAGAGAAGAACGGCAUUGAGAGUAACUGUUCAGUGUGUGACGGUAUCUUACCAGAAAGGAACGGCUAAAUACGUGCCAGCAGCCGCGGUAAUACGUAUGUUCCAAGCGUUAUCCGGAUUUAUUGGGCGUAAAGCGAGCGCAGACGGUUAUUUAAGUCUGAAGUGAAAGCCCUCAGCUCAACUGAGGAAUGGCUUUGGAAACUGGAUGACUUGAGUGCAGUAGAGGAAAGUGGAACUCCAUGUGUAGCGGUGAAAUGCGUAGAUAUAUGGAAGAACACCAGUGGCGAAGGCGGCUUUCUGGACUGUAACUGACGUUGAGGCUCGAAAGUGUGGGUAGCAAACAGGAUUAGAUACCCUGGUAGUCCACACCGUAAACGAUGAGUGCUAGAUGUUCGAGGGUUUCCGCCCUUGAGUGUCGCAGCUAACGCAUUAAGCACUCCGCCUGGGGAGUACGACCGCAAGGUUGAAACUCAAAGGAAUUGACGGGGACCCGCACAAGCGGUGGAGCAUGUGGUUUAAUUCGAAGCAACGCGAAGAACCUUACCAGGUCUUGACAUCCCUUGCUAAUCCUAGAAAUAGGACGUUCCCUUCGGGGACAAGGUGACAGGUGGUGCAUGGUUGUCGUCAGCUCGUGUCGUGAGAUGUUGGGUUAAGUCCCGCAACGAGCGCAACCCUUAUUAUUAGUUGCCAGCAUUCAGUUGGGCACUCUAGUGAGACUGCCGGUGACAAACCGGAGGAAGGUGGGGAUGACGUCAAAUCAUCAUGCCCCUUAUGACCUGGGCUACACACGUGCUACAAUGGCAUAUACAACGAGUCGCCAACCCGCGAGGGUGCGCUAAUCUCUUAAAGUAUGUCUCAGUUCGGAUUGUAGGCUGCAACUCGCCUACAUGAAGUCGGAAUCGCUAGUAAUCGCGGAUCAGCACGCCGCGGUGAAUACGUUCCCGGGUCUUGUACACACCGCCCGUCACACCAUGAGAGUUUGUAACACCCAAAGCCGGUGGGGUAACCUUUAGGAGCCAGCCGUCUAAGUGACAGAGUUGGA